rnacentral:ncRNA from 1 species
AGCACCAGGGGAGCGAAUGCUGAGAGGUCCCGCGAGGGAUGACCCUUACACCUGAUCCGGGUAAUGCCGGCGUAGGAAGGUUAAUA